AACGAACGCUGGCGGCAUGCCUAACACAUGCAAGUCGAACGGGAACUUCGGGUCUAGUUGCGCACGGGUGCGUACCGCGGGGGAACCUGCCCUUAGGUACGGUAUACCUCCCCGAAAGGGGUGCUAAUAACGCGUAAUCUCUUCCUACCAACGAUUUAUCGCCUUUGGGUGGGGCCGCGUUGGAUUAGCUAGUUGGUAGGGUACAAGCCAACCAAGGCGAGGUUCCUUAGCUGGUCGGGGAGGAGGAUCAGCCGCACUGGGACUGCGACACGGCCCAGAAUGCGACGGAGGGGAGGAGUGGGGAAUAUUAGACAAGGGGCGAAAGCGUGGUGCAGCAAUGUGGGGGGAGUGAGGAAGGGCGUAGGGUUGUAAAGCUCGUUUACACGAGAUGAUAAUGACAGUACCGGGAGAAGAAGCACCGGCUAACUCCGUG
rnacentral:rRNA from 1 species